UCGUUGGAGAAGGUUAAAUAGCAAUUUGCACAUCAUUGUUGUGGCUUUGUGUAAGUAAGAUACGAUCAUAGUAGAUACCCAUAGCAGCCUCGUAAAAUUUGCAACAACAAAUUAGAGGACGUCUAACUUGUUUUUGCAGGGUAUGCAUGUGAUGUGAUAUGACCAUAGACAUGAUAGGAUAUAUUGGAUGCAUGAGAUGAUCACGUUGUAGUAGUUAAAUGUCGACUUGCACGUCGAUGCUACGGCAACCGACAGGAGCCAUUGGCUUGUCUUUAAAUUAUUUUGUGCUUGCAGAUGCUCUUGCUUUAUCGCUAGGCAGUAGCUUUAGUAGAAACAACCUAGUUAGCGUGACAACCUCGAUGGCAGCACAAUGAUGGAGAUCAUGAUGUUGGAGAUCAUGGUGGGGCGCCGGUGACGAUGGAGAUGAUGUCGGUGCUCUGAUGAUGGAGAUCAAGAAGCACAAGUUCAUGCCCACAUCAUGUCACUUAUGAUUUGUGUGUGAUGUUAAUCUUUUUAUGCACCUUGUUUUGCUCAGGACGACGGUAGAAUUAUAAGGUGACCCCUCACUAAAAUAUCAAGAUGAAAUUGUGUUCUCCCCGACUAUCCAGCAUUGCUACCAUUCAUCAUUUCAAGACACCACGUGAUGAUCGGGUGUGAUAGACUCUACAUUCACAUACAACAGGUGCAAAACAGUUGCACACACGAAACACUCGGGUUAAACUUGACGAGCCUAGCAUGUACAGACAUGGCCUC
rnacentral:lncRNA from 1 species